UUUAUCCUACGGGAGGCAGCAGUGAGGAAUAUUGGUCAAUGGACGAGAGUCUGAACCAGCCAAGUAGCGUGAAGGAUGACUGCCCUAUGGGUUGUAAACUUCUUUUAUAUGGGAAUAAAAUGUUCCACGUGUGGGAUUUUGUAUGUACCAUAUGAAUAAGGAUCGGCUAACUCCGUGCCAGCAGCCGCGGUAAUACGGAGGAUCCGAGCGUUAUCCGUAUUUAUUGGGUUUAAAGUGAGCGUAGGUGGAUUGUUAAGUCAGUUGUGAAUGUUUGCGGCU
rnacentral:rRNA from 1 species